CGAGGAACAUGGCUGUGAACCACUGCUCUAGAGACUGAACAAGUAUACAAAUGCCAGGGUGAUUCAGUGGUUUGUAGCACACCAAGACUAUUACAUUGUGAAACACCAAGUUAUCAGUAAAGCAGAUUGUAUCUCUUAGAUGGAUCCGAUUUGACUGUGCCAAAGCAGGGACAUUCCGGUAGAACUGACAAACUUGGCAACACACUUGGAAAUCUGAAGAUGUCGACUUUGGAUGUAUAUUGUUUGAAGACAGGGAAGGAGCUCUCAGAAAUGGAUGACAAUCUCUCUGGGAGGUGAUUAGGGCUUGGAGUUGAACCACAGUCUGAGUCUGCACAGCAGCUAACAACAGAACCACCUGGAAGAGAAUCAAGACCCCAUCAUGACCCAAUAAAUAUAUGAACAUUGCAGUUUUCUGUUGCACACAGUCAAGCAUUUAUAAAGAAAUGAAGGCAGGGGCUAAAAGAUGUUUGACAUUCCGUGUUCCAACAACCUAUUUGUAAGUAAUAUCCUUCAUGUUUUGCUUUUCCUUUUCUUGUAAAGAGUCUUGCAUUUUUAUUGUUAAAAAUAAAUGUUUGAACAUUACAAAAUAAACCAGAUUGAACAUAUAUGAGAAAGUAUUUGGGCUCACAAAACAAGAUGGUAUCAGGAAAACUGAGCCAUCAUCACCAGCCCAGCCUGCCUCAUGUGACCAGAGCAACAAACUUUUGAAAUAUGAAUAAUGAGGUGUUGAAUAUAUGCAAAACCAGAACAAUACAAAAGCAGCAGUAAUCCAUUCCUAAUGAUCUUCUCUUAUCCUGAGGUCAUUUCUCACAGUUCAAGAAACUGCUGUCUGUCCACAUUGACUUGUAUAUUUCUGUUUUUAAUGUUUACUGCUUGCUAAAGUCUGGAUGUGUCUGGAAUGUUUCUUUCUAUAUGAAAGAGGGCGAGGACAUUUAUUCUCUGUUGUCUUCAUUUGUCUCAUUGGGUUUGGCUACACAAAUGCUGUCAGGAGCAUGUCAACGGCUGACUGAUGUGUAAUGCCCUACUCUUACUGUAACAACGUUGUGUCUGAUAUGUACAGUAUAUACCAGUUUUACAUUAAAUGAAAUUGACAUGCACUUUUGCAACACUUUCAUGGAUGUGCUUGUUUUGAGCUGACCCUACACACUUGAUAACUGGCAACUGGACAAUUGGAAAUUAGACUUUUAUUAUGUCACAACAUGUCAAUUAAAAAAAAAAGGUUCUAUAAAAAUAUUAACUGAGGUCCGAUUUGUUGGACCGUUUUUUGUGUUCUCAUGUGAUGAAAACAUUAAAA